rnacentral:rRNA from 1 species
UACGGAGGGUGCGAGCGUUGUCCGGAAUCAUUGGGCGUAAAGGGCGCGUAGGUGGCCCGGUCAGUCCGUGGUGAAAGCGCGGGGCUCAACCCUGCGUCGGCCAUGGAUACUGCCGCGGCUCGAGCACUGUAGAGGCAGGCGGAAUUCCAGGUGUAGCGGUGAAAUGCGUAGAUAUCUGGAGGAACACCGGUGGCGAAGGCGACAUCCUGGACCGGUAUUGACGCUGAGGCGCGAAAGCCAGGGGAGCAAACGGG